GGAAACUCACUUUUCAAAAGAGAAAUUUCUCGGAAUCAGUUGCAUCACCAGGUAAAUUGAAAACAUUUACAUCCUAGGGGAUCUGCCUCUAAUUCUUUCAUUUUGGAUUUAAAUGCAUUUAAUGAGAUUAAUUUGUUGAGUUUCAAGUCAUUCUCCAAAGUAUUCCAUGCAGAGGGUUCAGAAUACACAAAUGCCCUUUUUCUUAUUUCCAUACAGGCAUUUGGGACAGAAAGCAUAAAGAAGUCCUGAGAACGCAAAGAGUACUUUCCGGCACUUUUCUGCAUGAUAAAAAACACAUAGGUCAUAUGGGAGCAGACCAAAAAUUGCUUUAUAUGUAAAGGUGGUGGGUCAGAGCUUUACAAUUGGUAAUGAACCUCAAGGAAGCAUGGUAAGCUGUGCCAACCGUAUGAAGACACUGAGCGGAAAUAUGCAUAUAUAAAAGAUCACCAUAGUCCAACACAGGUAAAAAAAAAAGUGACGGCAACAAGUCCCUUUUUUACAUGAUAAGAAAAACACCACUUAUUUGGAAAAUAAAAACCCAGUUUUUGCCUCAGCUUUCUUACUAGUGACUGCACAUGAGGCUUAAAAGUGAGGGAGUAAUCAAUCAAAAUACCCAGGUAUUUUUAUGAGUUAACAAUUGCUUUUUCACUUCCCUCAAAAGUGACCACUGAAGGGAUAUUUCGUGACCUAUGGGGUUUCAUAGGACAUUUUGGACAGCAGUAAAAGCAUUUUGCAAGGAUUCAGUGGACUGUACAAGAGUUGACACACAACAUUACGACUCAGAUUAUUUAUAUAAAUUGUGAAUAAAAGUGGACCUAAUACAGAGCCCUGUGGUACACCCUUGUCGACAGAUACAGUAUCAGAACAUAGACCAUCAUAUCUAAUGCACUGAGACCUAUUACGGAGGUAGUUUGAGAACCAAACGACUGCUUGCUCUGAGAGUCCUGAGUUAAGAAGUCUAAGUUUUAAAACAUCAUGGUCGACUGUGUUGAAAGCUUUGGACAGAUCAAUAAAGAGUGAUGCAUCAUGUUGCUUCUUGUCAAGUGCAACAUAAAUGUUGUUGACUUCAUCUCAUUUUAUCGUAUUACUGUCACCGGUGGAACAGAAUGGCUUUAUUAAAAAAGAAAAAACUGCACUGAAAUGAGGGAAGGAAUCUGAUACAGCUAGUGAAUUACCUUUACAUAAGUGGUGGUGCUGAUUUUCUCCAUGCUACCAGUUGAGAACCAAAUCCUUCCCAUCACCUCUCACUUUUCGGAGUCUGGGAUUUAUUUUCCAUUGCACAUCAUGACAUGACAUCAAGAAAAACCUCAUUAGGGUUCUUAUGUAAAGCCAGAUAGUUGCUGCCUCAUUUAUGUCAUAUGGUGUAAAAAUUGUCUGUCCUGUUUUCCCUUGAAGUCACUUAAUUAAGUAAAAUGGUAUCUCAUAUUUGUAUUUGGCUUGACUUUGGACCUAAAUUGGGCCAAAUCUAAAUGAUAUUCAAUCUAACUGGUUCAGGCAGGGUCCCAUUAUAUUGUUGUGAGUCUUAAUCUUUGCGUCCUGGGGUCCUCUACCGUCUCUUUUUGUUUGCAAAUUAAUUAAUGCACAUCAGUUUCAGUUACCAAGAAAAUGAAUUUCCUCCGGAGGGUGUCUGGCCUCAGCCUUAGCAACAGGGUGAGGAGCUCGGACAUCUGGAUGGAGCUCAGAGUGGAGCUGCUGAGGUGGUUUACGCAUCUGGUUAGGAUGUCUCCCUUUGGAGGUGUUCCAUGCAUGUCCAACUAGUUGGAGACUUGGGGCAGACCCAGAACACGUUGUAGGGAUUACAUAUCUCUUCUUGCCUGGGAACACCUCAGGAUCCCCCAGGAGGAGCUGGAGGAUGCUGCUGGGGAGAAAAAGACGUCUGGGUUACCUCACUCAGUCUACUGCCACCGUGAGCUGGUCCCAGAUAAGCGAGGGAAAAUGGAUGGAUGGAUGGAAAACAUAAUGAGAUAAUGUUUGUCAAUUAAUUAACGCAUCUGGUGAGUCACAAAAAUGUUGAUACUCAAGUAAAAUGCUCAGUGACAAAGUAUCUCAUUUUCUGCCAAAAUAUCUUAUCCUGCAGUACAAUAUGUGCUUGUUUUGACAAAAGCAUUUUUCAGCUUUUUUGUUAGUUAAAAACUUUACUGUCCAUGUUCUAGAAAAUCAUCUUUGGCUUCACCACAGUGAUUAAAAAACCCAAUACAAUACAGGAUAUCCUAAUGUAAUCAGGAUUUUGAAUGCAUGGCCUGUUUUGAAUUACACAAAAAGUUAGCCCUGUUUCCAUUUUAUUUUAUUGUACUUUAUUUUUACUGCACUUACUGUAUGUACUUUAAAUCUUGUUUGUUGAUACUGCAUCCUUGGUUCUUGUCCUUUCAAUUGUCCUCUAUUGUCAAUUAUUAAACAUUUUUAUUGUUAUGUUUAGACGCUGGCAGCACUUGGUUAAGGUUAGGGGAAGAUCAUGGUAUUGGUUUAAUACAGAAAAGGUCUGUAGUGACUUGAAGCAGGAGACAUUACGUGUUUAUUAACAGUUAACUGAAACCACCAUCUUUAAAUAAUCUUAUAAGUGCUUUUGCUGCUUAAACCACAGAGGAGAUUCAGGAUGUGAACCCGGUCUCUGGAGUCAAGAGUGCGUCAUCCACCCUGACCACGUCCCUGCAUCUUUGGAGCAAUAUGUGGCUAAUUAGCUACCUAGCUAUGCCGGGUCAUUACAGGAAGAUAACGAGACAGCAGUGAGAAAUGCCAAUAAGUGAUCAGCAACUGAAAUCAUGUUUGAACUACAACAACGAUGGCACUCAGUCAUCUCCCCUUGAUGUGAAAGCCGUCUAAAUGAAUGAAAAUGUUAUUGACUGACCAGGCUGCAGCCAACAUGACAUGCAUUACCGCCACCUCUUGGAGUCAUCAAUGUCUCUAAUGAACACCACAAAAAAGAACCACGUCCGGCCUGAAGGACACAUCUCCUACAUGGUUGAGAUCCGCCAUCUUGUCUGCAGCCAGGUCCCUCCCCAAGGAUCGGAAAAAUUCACAUGUUAAGGAUUGUGUUCACGUCAUCUGGCAACACAAGAAAGUUGUUUAACUCCAUUGGUCAUAUGAGGAUUGAAAAUAAAAUAUUCAGGCACUUCUGUAUCA